rnacentral:rRNA from 1 species
UACGAAGGGGGCUAGCGUUGUUCGGAAUUACUGGGCGUAAAGGGCGCGUAGGCGGUACUUCAAGUCAGGCGUGAAAGCCCCGGGCUCAACCUGGGAACCGCGCUUGAGACUGGAGAACUAGAGUUCGGGAGAGGAUGGUGGAAUUCCCAGUGUAGAGGUGAAAUUCGUAGAUAUUGGGAAGAACACCGAUGGCGAAGGCAGCCAUCUGGACCGACACUGACGCUGAGGCGCGAAAGCGUGGGGAUCAAACAGG